rnacentral:ncRNA from 1 species
AAGUGGUAUGGAGGAAAAGAAGGCUAGCAUUCCUGCGUAGAAAUGGGAAAAGUCUUAGUGACCAAGGAACACAUACAGAGUUAAGGAGUGGCCCCCGGGCUUGGUGGAGCCUGGACUACGGUUUUGG